rnacentral:rRNA from 1 species
GACGAACGCUGGCGGCGUGCUUAACACAUGCAAGUCGAACGGAAAGGCCCUGCUUUUGUGGGGUGCUCGAGUGGCGAAAGGGUGAGUAACACGUGAGUAACCUGCCCUUGACUUUGGGAUAACUUCAGGAAACUGGGGCUAAUACCGGAUAGGAGCUCCUGCUGCAUGGUGGGGGUUGGAAAGUUUCGGCGGUUGGGGAUGGACUCGCGGCUUAUCAGCUUGUUGGUGGGGUAGUGGCUUACCAAGGCUUUGACGGGUAGCCGGCCUGAGAGGGUGACAGGCCACAUUGGGACUGAGAUACGGCCCAGACUCCUACGGGAGGCAGCAGUGGGGAAUAUUGCACAAUGGGCGGAAGCCUGAUGCAGCAACGCCGCGUGCGGGAUGACGGCCUUCGGGUUGUAAACCGCUUUCGCCUGUGACGAAGCGUGAGUGACGGUAAUGGGUAAAGAAGCACCGGCUAACUACGUG